rnacentral:lncRNA from 1 species
GCUGGCAGUGGAUGCUGUCCUGGACUCAGAGGAUCACUCCUCAAUUUGUAUGGUUGUGGUCUGAGCGUCUUGGCAAUGGGAAGCUCUGGUUACCCAAAAAGAAGGACCUAAGCUGCCUGGUUGAGGGGACAGGAGCAUGCACCCAGGCCUUACCUAUGGGAAGUUUUGUGUUCCAGCUGACUCCCUCCAAGAGAGCUGCCAACGUGCUUGUUCAUCAGAACUAUGUGAAACACCUGAGUUCAUUGGGACUGGAGGAAAACUGCCUCAGAGACAGAGGUACACAGCUUCCCUGGAUUGCUGGCUACAUGCCUGAUCUGAGGACCUAG